rnacentral:tRNA from 1 species
GGCCGUGUGGCCUAAUGGAUAAGGCAUCAGACUUCGAAUCUGAGGACUGCAGGUUCGAGUCCUGUCACGGUCG